rnacentral:rRNA from 1 species
GAUGAACGCUGGCGGCGUGCCUAAUACAUGCAAGUCGAGCGAAUGGAUUGAGAGCUUGCUCUUAUGAAGUUAGCGGCGGACGGGUGAGUAACACGUGGGUAACCUGCCCAUAAGACUGGGAGAACUCCGGGAAACCGGGGCUAAUACCGGAUAACAUUUUGAACCGCAUGGUGCGAAAUUGAAAGGCGGCUUCCGCUGUCACUUAUGGAUGGACCCGGGGGGCAUUAGCUAGUUGGUGAGGUAACGGCUCACCAAGGAAACGAUGCGUAGCCGACCUGAGGGGGUGAUCGGCCACACUGGGACUGCGACACGGCCCAGACUCCUACGGGAGGCGGCAGUAGGGAAUCUUCCGCAAUGGACGAAAGUCUGACGGAGCAACGCCGCGUGAGUGAUGAAGGCUUUCGGGUCGUAAAACUCUGUUGUUAGGGAAGAACAAGUGCUAGUUGAAUAAGCUGGCACCUUGACGGUACCUAACCAGAAAGCCACGGCUAACUACGUGCCAGCAGCCGCCGUAA